rnacentral:lncRNA from 1 species
CACCAACUUUCCUACUUUCCUUUUCCUGUGUGUCAGUGGUAGGAGGAAUACUUACUGGUGGAUUUAACCCUGAAGGCAGGCCAGUGACAUUGAUAGUAAGUAUAAUAGAGCAAACCAUAAAUAUCCUUUUGUGUAAAAAAAUCCUCGUUUUAUUUGUAUAUUGUUACUUCUAUGUCUUAUAUAUAGAACCUUUUAAUUUUUAUAUUAUAAAAAUAAUAUAAAUAUAAAUAAUAUAAAUAUAAAAA